rnacentral:rRNA from 1 species
ACGUAGGUGGCAAGCGUUGUCCGGAAUUAUUGGGCGUAAAGCGCGCGGAGGCGGCUUCUUAAGUCCAUCUUAAAAGUGCGGGGCUUAACCCCGUGAUGGGAUGGAAACUGGGAGGCUGGAGUAUCGGAGAGGAAAGUGGAAUUCCUAGUGUAGCGGUGAAAUGCGUAGAGAUUAGGAAGAACACCGGUGGCGAAGGCGACUUUCUGGACGACAACUGACGCUGAGGCGCGAAAGCGUGGGGAGCAAACAG